GAGUUUGAUCGUGGCUCAGAUUGAACGCUGGCGGCAUGCCUUACACAUGCAAGUCGAACGGCAGCACGGGAGCUUGCUCCUGGUGGCGAGUGGCGAACGGGUGAGUAAUGCAUCGGAACGUAUCCUGGAGUGGGGGAUAACGUAGCGAAAGUUACGCUAAUACCGCAUAUUCUGUGAGCAGGAAAGCGGGGGACCUUCGGGCCUCGCGCUCUUGGAGCGGCCGAUGUCGGAUUAGCUAGUUGGUGAGGUAAAGGCUCACCAAGGCGACGAUCCGUAGCAGGUCUGAGAGGAUGAUCUGCCACACUGGAACUGAGACACGGUCCAGACUCCUACGGGAGGCAGCGAGUGGGAAUUUUGGACAAGUGGGGGCAACCCUGAUCCAGCCAUGCCGCGUGAGUGAAGAAGGCC
rnacentral:rRNA from 1 species